AAAUAUUUUAAUUCAGUAAGCGGAGGAAAAGAAACUAACCAGGAUUCUCCCAGUAACGGCGAGUGAACGGAGAUUAGCCCAUCACCGAAGUCUAUUCGCGCUUGUGAACAAGACAAUGUGGUGUUCAGGCUUGCACCUGGGGAUGCUUACCUACUCGAAGUCCGACUCCGAUUACGGCUAGGACCAUGCCCACAGCGGGUGAAAGGCCCGUACGGGUAGGUUAUUGCAAUUGAAGCGUUCCCCAGACGUGCAUGCUCUCGAGUCGGAUUGCUUGAGAAUGCAGUCCAAAGUGGGUGGUAAACUCCAUCCAAGGCUAAAUACUGGCACGAGUCCGAUAGUAGACAAGUACCGUGAGGGAAAGUUGAAAAGUACUCUGAAGAGAGAGUAAAUAGUACGUGAAGCCGCUUGCAGGGAAGCUGGUGGAGUCAAGCUUCAUGCUAGUGAAUUUGUUGUCAGGAGAUUUGUGGUUGGGACGUGAUGCUCGGUUACCUGGAAAUGGUUUGUCGCAUUCGUGCGACCCAAGUCAUCCCGGGUAGUGUGUUUGGACUGGCAUCUAUCUCCCCCUCCUGAUACUGAAUUUCACAAGGCAUACAUCACGGUCGAUAAUGGUUGUGGCGUGUGAGUGCAUAACCGCAUUUUGGCGGGCAUCUUUGCCUGCCUGGUGUGGAAUGGCAGGUAGCUUGUGCAGGCCUUGUGCUUGUAACUUGCUUAUUGUGGUCUUGAUCUGCUUGCACUCAUGUCUUGUUGUUCCGUCGUUAUCAGCCUUAUCGUUCUUAUGUGAAGUCGUGUCUUCGGACGCGGCGUCUGUGAGAACCGUGAUGCCGAGGUAGACUUUCCCCCGACCUGUUAAAA
rnacentral:rRNA from 1 species